GCCACAAAGCUACUUUCAGAUUCAGAAAGGGUGGGGGGGCGGGGGAAGGGCUCUCUUUUAGAGUGGAUCAAGGCUUAAGAGAGGCACGGGGAGGGGAGCAAAGGCACCAAAACAGGGCUCUGGGCCCCGCUGCAGAGACCCGCGUCCGGGCUUUAGUGACCACCCAAACUCAGGGGGCUUCAACCUGUGUGUUUCCCGCCCUCCCCCGUGCAUCAACGAGAAGUGGACCUGGACAGGGGGUCUCAGACCAGUACCAGCCUAGGACCUUGGGAGACUCUGAAGGGAAGAGCGGCUCCAGGUCACCCCGUCCGAGCCUUCGGCGCCGUGCCAUGCUCAAGUUCCCUAUCGAUUGGCGUUCUCAGCGCUAUCGUGGCGGCAGAGAGACGGAGGGCGGGAAAUCGGGAAGCCGGAACCUGCAGCCCACCCUGGACCUGAGAGGGGGGCAGGCGUAAGAACAAUUCCCCCAUCUCGCAAUACAGUACACGCAUGCAUCGCCCUUCCUCCUAGCACACAUUACGACUGCGAAAGCCAUUACCGCCGGCGCGCGAGAGACUUUUUAAAUAUUUACAGCCCGCUCUCCGCACGGUAGCCUGAUCCAUCUUGUGGGCGCGGAGGCGGGGCGCGGGGCUCCGCUCCGGGGGAGGUGCGGAGUCGGGGCGGGGGUUCCAGUCGCCUUCCCCCGCGGCUCCGGGGUCCGCCCGGAGCUCCCCAUCUUGUUCCCCCCGCCAGGUGGGUAGUGGGCCGGAGACUGCGCGCAGCGCGCCCAGGGCCCUGUCGGGGCCUGAGCGGGCGGGGGUGGGGGUGGGGGGCAGCGUCCAGGAGGAGGGAAGGCCGGGAGGCUGAUUUAAAGGUUCUCACCGGGAAGCGAGAGAGGCACAGACCUGAGAGCCGCCGCGCGGUGAAAUCCGAGGAGCUCUCUUGGCGAGGAGGGGCUGUCAGAGGCCAUUUAUCUCUCGCCAGAGUGGAGGCUCGGCUCCCACACCGCCCGCGAGUAACAAUGGCAGCGAUCAGCAGCUCUGCACGCGCUUCAGUGCAUGAAUGGAUUGCGGAAGAUGCCUGCGCUCUUCUUCGCUCAGGCGGCUCUCGGAGCGCCCCCUCCCCGCCCGCCGCCCCCGCCCCGCCGGCCUCCUCCGGCCCGAGAGCGCGCGGUGCGCCUCGGGGUUCGCGAGUCCGGCCCCGCGGCUCGGUCACUCUUACCCGGAUCCCCCGCCGCCCUUCCCCCCUGCCGCGGCUCCCAGGGCUCUGGCACCUUGCCACCGAGUGUCAUUAGGGGCUGAAACUUGACACAAGCCUUCCCGACGCAGACACCCCCGCCAGCCCCCUCCCUCCUUCGCUCCCCUCGCGGCAAGUUUACUUUCAAGGAGUUGGACGGUGUUUCCGCCUCAAAGGCCGGCCGAGUGCUGGGAGGCCACCACCCUCAAUUGAAUUGACAUUCCAGCUUCCCCAUCGCAAAACCCCUACGGCAAAGCCCAUGCCCUGACUUUCCAACAACUGGGAAUCGAGUGGACUUCCCACAAGGAGGAACAGUGUCAUGUGAGAGGAGCUCCUCAGCCUCAAGUUCUCCGCUGCUCCCUUCCACUGCCUGCACAAUGGACCCAGCACGCCACUCCUACUGGGCCAGGAGAGCCUCUUACUCACUGAUCUCCCCUCCACUUCUCCCCACGCUGCCUGGGCAGCCCCGGGACAGAAGUCUCUGAGCUCACCUCUCCAACCUCGAAUGAAGCUGAGCGUUUUCUCCAGGCUGUUGACUCUGCGGCACGCUGGCUGUACACACACACACCACGAGUUGUUCUCGCCCUUCCUGGGGGCCUCCCUUCUCAUCUCCCUGCUGGGCGCCCUCGAAACCUGACUACUCAGCCUGAGUGCAGAGCCCUGGCAGAGUGGGGAGCCUGGAGGACCAAGGGGAGGUGGCCAAGGGAGAGAAGGAGAGGGCCCGUAAUGGAGGAGGGGCCCCGCAUGCCUGAGAGAAAAGAAGCCAGCCUGCAGCCACAGCCUGGAGGAGAGGGGGAGUAUAAAGGGAAAGCCAACACUAAUCCCUCAGCCUACCUACGUGGGGCCUGACAGUUUACAAAAGCCUUUUCCCUGAAUAUUAUCUCAUUCACUCCGGGCUAUAAGGAAGGUAGGGCAGAUAGCGUUACCCUCACUGACAGAGGAGAGAGAUGACGCCCAGAGAGGUUAAGAUAGGUCUGUACCAAGGUUGCAGAGCUAAGAGUGGUGGAGGAGCCCCCAGGCCUGGGGUUUCCUGCUCCCAAGUUCACGUUCCUGUUCAAUAGCUCUGUGUGUGUGAGUCUGGGUGACUAUCUGUGUGGAGGGGAAGGUGGGGGGUGGCUGGACAGGAAUGAGCAGUCCAGUGAGGGAAGUCCAGGAAGGAAGGACAUAGCCUCAUACCUCUUCCUCUACUCAGGUCUCAGCCAGCAGCCUCCUGCUCUUUCCGUAGCAGCCUGUGAGCCGGCCCCCAACUCGCCUGCCCAGGGGUGAGCUGUCUGUGGCUCCAGCAGUGGCUAUUCCAGAGGGCUUAUAUCUUUGGGAGGCCCCGCUCUGCUUGUCUGCUCGGCUCUCCUCUCUGCCUGUCAUCCCCACCCCCAGCCUCGGCUGCAGGAUGCCUUGCGUCCAACUGUGGUUUCCGGGCAAUAAAACAACUAUUAAAGUCUCAGGCACGGCUGGUGAUUUGCAUCACAUCCUCUCGUGCAUGGAUUCAAUAUUUAAUACACAAUAUUGAAUACGGAUAUUAAAAAUCAAUAGCUGAGGACCCCUGGGGAGGCGGCACAGUGCGAUCCUGCUUCAGAAACACAACCAGCU
ensembl:lncRNA